rnacentral:rRNA from 1 species
AUGGCUCAGGAUGAACGCUGGCGGCGUGCUUAACACAUGCAAGUCGAACGGAGAUAUAUUGGAGAAGUUUCGGAUGGAACCGAUAUAUCUUAGUGGCGGACGGGUGAGUAACGCGUAAACAAUCUGCCUUAGAGAGGGGGAUAACAGAUAGAAAUAUUUGCUAAUACCGCAUAAGACCACAGAUAGGCAUCUAUUAGGGGUAAAAGGAGCAAUCCGCUUUAAGAUGAGUUUGCGUACUAUUAGCUAGUUGGUGAGGUAACGGCCCACCAAGGCGACGAUGGUUAGCCGGCCUGAGAGGGUGAACGGCCACAUUGGAACUGAGAUACGGUCCAGACUCCUACGGGAGGCAGCAGUGAGGAAUAUUGGGCAAUGGAGGAAAAACCUCUGACCCAGCAACGCCGCGUGAAGGAAGAAGGUUUUAGGAUUGUAAACUUCUGUUGUAAGGGAAAAAGAAAGUGAUGGUACCUUACGAGGAAGCUACGGCAAACUGUGUGCCAGCCGCCGC